CACAAAUGCCACAUCUACAUGUGUUUGAACACUUGCAGAGAUGCUCUACCCUUCCCACUCAGGAAUCUGGAAGGAGCAUGGCUGAAAAAUGAGAAUUUGGGGCUUCCUGUGGCCGUGGGACAGGUCUCCAUCCCUGAGGAGCAGGAAAACUUGGAUGUUUGGCCUUUUUGCCCACUGCAGGGGAAACUUUCCAUCAUGAUUUUUCUUUCCUCUCCUCUUUGGAGCUAAAACUCUCCUGAAUAAACAAGAAUGUGUACU